AAUGACUUUUUUUUCUUUUUUUAAAGAAUGUGGGGGUUAAAAAGUAGGAAAAAAUUGUGGAUCUACAUUGCAAACUUAUUUUAUUGGAAGAACAUGUUAUUUGAAAUUAGUUCAGGAGAAUGAUUUUAAAAAGCUGUGCCAAACAAACCCUUAAUACCCUGCUGCAAGCUAGUAUAGAGCAGAAGCAUUCUCACUUCCUCCAAAGGCAAAAUGGAAACAAUAUUCAGUAGAAUGAUUAUGAAACGCUUAGAUGUACACUAGGCAUCCAGGACAUGACUUCACUUGCAUAGUUCUAUACCACCUACCACAUUGGUUUCACACCAGAAGCUAAUACUUCUGCUCUGUACACUUAGCUAACACUCAUUUAGCUUCUUCUUCUUCUUCUUUUUAUUUUUAUUUUUAUUUUUUAUUAUUUUUUAAGAGCUGUUCACUUCAUUAAAGUCUAGUUAAUUCUUCCACCAAUUGUUUCCUUCUCUUUUUUAUGGCACACAGUGGAGGUAAUAUUUGUUUAACGUUGUCUGAGCAAAAGAUGAAAAUUAUGAUGACUGCCAGUCUGCUACUCUGUUCAAAAUCUGGAUUCCAAUAGAGGCAAAAGGUACACAACCAAGUUGCUGCAUCGUUUUGUCUUGAGAAGUACAUGACUUGGUUUCCCAUUCAAUGUUGCACUAAACAUAACAGCUAAGCACUUUCCGGUCCAUAAAUAUACUGCUUGGAAUCAAUUAUUUCAUGUACUAAACAUAUCCAAAUUUAACAAGCCAAUCUUGGCAGCCUAUUGCACCUCACAAAUACACAAAUGCCACUCCAGAUAUAUUUACACGCUGGCAUUACAGACGACCAUACAAACAAAAAUUAAUAAUAUAUAUCAUGCAGAAAAAAGUGCACUUAUGAUUUUGCAGUUACAUGUUAGUUCUAUAUCACCCAAAUGGGACCAAUUUGAUGCAGAAACAACAUGUACCCCUUAGUGGAGCCCAUGAAGGGAUACAAUUUUUUACCCGAGCCCAACUACAAAAUAGCAACGCACAACUUACUACUUCAGACAUUAUCUCCACUCUCCGUGCAUAUAUUUGUUUCAGUCCAUUAGUUAACAUCUAAAUCUAUAUAGAUAUUUUCCGAAAAGUUCCUUCAAAUUGAAAUUCGGGCAUCUCCUAUCCAACUUCAAAAUGGCGUAAGACACCAAUUUGGUGUGAAAUAAUGCUCCAACAGGACUUCAAAUUUUCACAUCAAAUUAGAGUAAUAAACCAUGUUGCACGUUCAUUUGGUGUAAUAUAUACAAUUUAAUUAUUUCUCAUUUUGUUUCGUUUUAUAUUACAACAAAUUUUAAUGCCUAUUAUAUCAUUUUAUUAUUUAAUGAUUUAACUUUGUUUAUAUUUGUUUUAAUUUGAUUAUUAAUUUGAUUAACAUUUAUAAUAAACUGUAAUAAAGUAACAAAUAAUAAAUACAGAAUACACUAAAAUAAAAUUACCCAUUAAAAUUCAAAAGAUACAAAUUUGAUAAUUAUAAAUUAAAAAGAAAUUACCACUAAAACAACAUAACUAUUUUAAACUAAAAUUUAAAGUAAAAUACAACAUAAACUAAAACAAUAGUUUAGUAUUUGCUACAUCAUCGCUGGAUCCUUCAAGAUUAGUUGAACUUUAUGUUUGUUUGUGAAAGUUUUUAUACUAUAUGCAAUUUUAUAUAUUGUGAUAUUAAAUGUAAUUUUUUUUAUAUUGUGAUAUUAAGCAUAAUGCUUUUUAAAUGUAUUAUAAAUACAAUAUUUUAGCUAAUUAAAAGUAAUUUUUAAUUUGGUAAUUUAGCAAUAAUAGGAUGCGUAAUUAAAAAUAAUUUUUGAAGAAAAGGAUUUUAUUAUUAUUAUUAUUAUUUUUUUGGAGAUAGACUAAAUAAAAUUACGUGAAAGUCUUACCAUUUCGGUGAAAUGGAUUGGAGAUGGUCAUAUAAAAGUUUCACAGCCAAUUGUCAAAACCCAUAAAUCACAAUAACUCAAAAUUAAAAAUAAAUAAAACAGAAAUAGCUUAAUACUCAAAAUGGAACUGCCAUUAACUAAAUAUUAAGGAUUUUAUAAUAUAUCAAUAAAAAGCGAAAAUUUACUGAGCUGACUAACCAAGAGUUUGGAUCUUAGAUUUGAGUUGUUCUAUCAAAACAGACUCAGAGCCAUCCGAUCUGGGCACUUGGACAUCAUCGUCAACGCCGAAGAUUGUUUUAUCAGCAUCAGCAUCAACUCUGAUGUGGGUGAGGAUUAGGGAUAGAUAUACAAUAAAUAUGAACACUUUUAACGCCGCCAUAAUGCCACUAAUGGAGGCUCCGGCGCUCCUCCUACCUAAUUUUAAUUGGGAUUUUUUUGU
rnacentral:lncRNA from 1 species